GACGAACGCUGGCGGCGUGCUUAACACAUGCAAGUCGAACGGAAAGGCCCUGCUUUUGUGGGGUGCUCGAGUGGCGAACGGGUGAGUAACACGUGAGUAACCUGCCCUUGACUUUGGGAUAACUUCAGGAAACUGGGGCUAAUACCGGAUAGGAGCUCCUGCUGCAUGGUUGGCGUUGGAAAGUUUCGGCGGUUGGGGAUGGACUCGCGGCUUAUCAGCUUGUUGGUGGGGUAGUUGCUUACCAAGGCUUCGACGGGUAGCCGGCCUGAGAGGGUGACCGGCCAAAUUGAGACGGAAUUACGGCCCAGGCUCCUACGGGGGGAAACAGGGGGGAAAAUAGCACGAUGGGCAGAAGCCUGAUACAGCAACACCGCGUGAGGGAUGACGGCCUUCGGGUUGUAAACCGCUGUCGCCUGUGACGAAGCGUGAGUGACGGUAAUGGGUAAAGAAGCACCGGCUAACUACGUG
rnacentral:rRNA from 1 species